rnacentral:rRNA from 1 species
CAGUAGGGAGGAAGGUAGUGUAGUUAACACCUGCAUUAUUUGACGUUACCUACAGAAGAAGCACCGGCUAACUCCGUGCCAGCAGCCGCGGUAAUACGGAGGGUGCGAGCGUUAAUCGGAAUUACUGGGCGUAAAGCGCAUGCAGGCGGCCUGUUAAGUCAGAUGUGAAAGACCCGGGGCGUUAACCUCGGAAUUGCAUUUGAAACUGGCAGGCUAGAGUCUUGUAGAGGGGGGUAGGAAGUUUCAGGUGUAGCGGUGAAAUGCGUAGAGAUCUGAAGGAAUACCAGUGGCGAAGGCGGCCCCCUGGACAAAGACUGACGCUCAGAUGCGAAAGCGUGGGGAGCAAACAGGAUUAGAUACCCUGGUAG